AACGGUCUAUACCUGCGGUACCUGCGGAAGGAUCAUUACAGGACUCGCAAGACUCCUACAACCCUGUGAACUUAACUAUAAGCACGUUGCUUCGGCGGGUGUCUCGGCGAGGGUUCUCCCUCCCCGGGGCGCUAAGCCCGCCGGCAGCCUACUAUACUCUGUCUCUUUGCGUUGGCAUCUCGAGUACAAACAAACAAGUUAAAACUUUUAACAACGGAUCUCUAGAUCGGAAGAGCACAC
rnacentral:misc_RNA from 1 species